GACGAACGCUGGCGGCGUGCCUAAUACAUGCAAGUCGAACGAGAGCGCCCGGUGCUUGCACUGGUCAAUCUAGUGGCGAACGGGUGAGUAACACGUGGGUAACCUGCUCAUCAGAGGGGGAUAACAUCCGGAAACGGUUGCUAAAACCGCAUAGGUCUUCGAGCCGCAUGGCUUGAAGAGGAAAAGAGGCGCAAGCUUCUGCUGUUGGCUGGAGCCGCGGUGCCUUAGCUAGUUGGUGAGGUAACGGCUCAGCAAGGCCGUGAUGCAUAGCCGACCUGCGAGGGUGAUCGGCCACAGUGGGACUGAGACACGGACCAAGCUCAUACGGGAGGGAGCAGUAGGGAAGCUUACGCAAUGGACGCAAGUCUGACGGAGAAGCGCCGAGUGAGUGAAGAAGGUGUUCGGAUCGUAGAACUCUGUUGUUAGAGAAGAACAAGUGGUAGAGUAACUGUUAGCGCCGUGACGGUAUCUAAGCAGAAAGCAACGGCUAACUACGUG
rnacentral:rRNA from 1 species